rnacentral:tRNA from 11 species
CUUAGCUCAGUUGGUAGAGCAUCUGACUGUAGUAAAUAAAGAAAUCAGAUUGUCGCUAGUUCGAAUCUGGC